rnacentral:lncRNA from 1 species
CUUUCUGCCGCAGCCAGAAGCCGGGCCUCGGCUCUGAUCUCUGCCCCACAGCCUGUCACCUGGCUGGCUGGCUUCGGCACAGAGAGAGAUGUGAGGUGUGGGCUCCUGGUGCCAAGUUCCCCACCCUACUCUGUGCCCGCCGGGGGCUCUUGCCCUGCACAGAAGCAGGAAACACAGAAGCACCAGAAAGAGGAGGAAUCCAGGAGUCAGCUGAGGGGAGUAUCCUCUGGAUCAAAGUCUGAAAUGAUGCAGGAGAAGCCGCCGUGGUGUGCUAGGGCUUCGCUGGGGAAGAAGGGCUCAUGGCAGGCCACACUCUUCAAAGGUGAGAAGGAUAGGGACCCUAAAUAGGAGGAAGGAGACACAAAGAGGGAGGGGAAAUAGGUGCUGGGUUUCGAUUUGUCCUUUGCCGGAGGGUGGCUAGUCUUUGGUGGCUGACUGUACAGCUCCAGCCACCUAUUUCCCAACAUUUUACUGCAAUGCACUCUACGUGGGGCUACCUUUGAAGAUGGCCCGGAAACUACAACUAAUCCAGAAUGCGGCAGCUAGACUGGUGACUGGGAGUGGCCGCCGAGACCACAUAACACCGGUCUUGAAAGACCUACAUUGGCUCCCACUACAUUUCUGAGCUCAAAGUGUUGGUGUUGACCUUUAAAGCCCUAAACGGCCUCGGUCCAGUAUACCUGAAGGAGCGUCUCCACCCCCAUUGUUCUGCCCGGACACUGAGGUCCAGCGCCGAGGGCCUCCUGGCGGUUCCCUCCCUGCGAGAAGCAAAGCUACAGGGAACCAGGCAGAGGGCCUUCUCGGCAGUGGCGCCCGCCCUGUGGAACGCCCUCCCAUCAGAUGUCAAAGAGAUAAACAACUACCUGACAUUUAGAAGACAUCUGAAGGCAGCCCUGUUCAGGGAAGUUUUUAAUGUGUGACAUUUUGAUGUAUUUUUAAUCCUUGUUGGAAGCCGCCCAGAGUGGCUGGGGAAACCCAGCCAGAUGGGCGGGGUACAAAUAAUAAAUUAUUAUUAUUAUUAUCUGCUAUCUGAUAGCACGGAAAGAGAUUUCGACCUCUCUAAGGGUGAUAGGCUACAUUCACAACAUACAUUUAAGGCACUGUGAUACCACUUUAAACCAUCAUGGCUUCUCCCAAAGGAUUCUGGGAGGGUGGUUUGUUAAGGGUGCCGAGAGUGGUCAGGUGACUACUAUUUCCCCUCUCAAAACUACAGUUCCCAGAGAUGCCUGUGAAGAGGGAUUGACUGUUUAAGCUACUCUGGGAAGUUCUUGAGCGCUGCAGUCCAGCAGUGAGCAGGACACACAAUCACAUUUUUUUUAAAAAAAAUUGAUUUAUAUACCGUUCCUCAUCUGAAGAGCACAGAAUUGUUUACAUAUAACUUUGAAAAACCGUAACAUAACCUUUAGAGGAGGCCCUUUUCUCAGUCCUGUCCCCUUCACAGCCAAUCUUGGUUGGGAUGUAGGACAGGGCCUUCUCAGUGGCUGCUCCCAAAUUUUGGAGCUCCUUUCCUAGAGAAGUUAGACCGGUUUCUUCCUUGUCCUUCCUUUCUUAUUUCAACAUGCUUUUAGGAACGGACUAUUCUUAAGGAAAGGGCUGGUGCUGUGAUGUUUUUAUUGUUAUUAUCUCUAUUUUUAAUAGAUCAUAAAUGUGUGUUUGUGUGUGUGUUUAAUUAUCUUUUAAUGAUUUUUUUCCCUAUGUUUGUAGCUUUUGAGUCCCCGUCUGGGAAAAAGCUGGGCUAUAAAUAAAUAUUAUAAUAAAUAUAACAAAAACAACCACACACAUGAACAUAGGGAAUUGUUUUAUUAUGUACUUGAAUUGUGAAUGUUGACAUUUCAAUAUUUGUGCAAUUUGUUUUUAUAAUCCACUCAGAAGCCUAUUUUAGCAUCAAGUGACAUAUAAACUAUGAAAUUAUAAUGGAAAGAGAUGGAAAGAAGAUAAAGUCCCUGCCAGAGAAGAAUGGCAGAUCAAGUUGAUGCACUGUGCCGAAAUGGCUAAAAUGACCGGAAGAAUCAGAAAUCAGGAAGACCAAAAUUUUAAUAGGGAAUGCGGAAAAUUUAUAACUUGUCUUAAAGACCAUUGUAAACAGUUAAAAUCGUUAGUAGGAUUGGAAUAUCACUUGUAGUUUACUGGUGAAUCUUGGACACAAUGGAGGGAUAGAAGAUUUGGAUUAUUAUUUGAUAUGUUAAUUGGAUGCCUUUUAUUGGAAAAUUAAUAAACGAUCUAACAAAAAAAGAAAGAUUUGCAUUAUCAUAAAAGAUACAGGAGGAAAUGAUCAACAAUAGGACCCACAAAGGGGAGGAGAAAACUCCAGGAGAUUCUUUGGAAUCUUGUUUUUAUGCUGCAUGUCAGAUGUGUGACUGUAAAAUUUUAAUCUGAAAAACCAAAUACCGUAUUUUUUGCUCUAUAAGACUCACUUUUUCCCUCCUAAAAAGUAAGGGGAAAUGUGUGUGCGUCUUAUGGAGCGAAUGCAGGCUGCACAGCUAUCCCAGAAGCCAGAACAGCAAGAGGGAUUGCUGCUUUCACUGCACAGCGAUCCCUCUUGCUGUUCUGGCUUCUGAGAUUCAGAAUAUUUUUUUCCUUGUUUUCCUCCUCCACAAACUAGGUGCGUCUUAUAGAGCGAAAAAUACGGUAAAUAAAUUGUACAAAAGGAAAAGAAAUUAUAAUAUGAGGGCGUGUUUUUGCUCUUCUUUUCCCCGCUUCAUGCUGCAGCCUCCAUCCUGAGUUCCUGCUUCCUCUGGACUCAAGCCCAGGCCAAGACUGGAAUACCUAUCAAAGUUGAACCAGAAAUACUGCAAGAAGGACAGAGUGUCACAUUAACACCAGGAGAUAUUGAUGUGACCACACUUCGUAGCUGCAAAUGGUACCGAGGGUCAAGUGCUGACGGAAAUCGAAUCUUCACCUAUUUCCUAGCUCCGGUGAUUUCACAGAAAAACGGAUCUGCCUUCACUGACAGGGAGACUGGGAGAAGAGACUGUUCCCUUCGUAUCACAGAUUUAACACCAAGCGACUCUGGAACCUAUACACUGGAACCAGAAGGACCUCUGGAACACAGAAUAGGGGCUAUCAAUAUAACCGUCCCAGGUAUGAUGAGCUUGUUCUCCAGUCAUUCUGACCUUUUAUGCACCCAAAUUUGCCUCCUCUGCUGAGCUUCGAGGGCCAAAUGACUCUGGAACCUAUACAUUUAAUGUUUUAAUGUUGUAUUUUAAGUUGUAUUCAUUCAACUUGUUUUUAUUAUUGGUUGUUAGCCGCCCUGAGCCCAGCCUUGGUUGGGGAGGGCAGGGUAUACCGUAUCUUUCGCUCCAUAGGGCGCACCGGACCAUAGCACGCACCUAGUUUUUAGAGGGGGAAAUAAAGGGGGGAAAUUGUUUCCCUUAUCACCCUCAAAAAGCAAAGAAGCCAAGACAACGAGCGGGAUCCAUCCCGCUGGAAGUCUUGGCUUCCUCUUUAGCCACGCGCAACCUCUCCAGCCGGGAGAGGCUGCGCACGGCUUCGUUUUUAGCCGUGGGGCUGGGGCGGGGGAAGCUCGAGCUUCCCAUGACCCCAGCCCCCAGAACAGGCUGCUAUCCGCAAGCCUGUGGAGCCCAGUGGGAACUCCCACCUGGCUCCGAAGGCUUGCGGAUAGCUGCCUGGAGAGCAAGAGGGGUCGGUGCGCACUGGGAAAACUUUAGAAAUUCAUAUAGGCAUGUGAGCUCAGCUACUGAGCAGCCCCUCUGCCUGAGUGAUAAUCCCUGGCAUCCUGAUACCUGAGUGCCAGACAGGUAGCCAUUCCAGAAAUAACAAACCCAGAUGAAGACAAAAGGGUGUGAUUAUCUUGGCUGGAAACAGGGAAAUGUAAAUAUCUCUUUUGUCACACUUGAUGGGUGUUUGGUGGAGGGCAAGGGGAACCAUGGGGCAGGGUCCAGGAUGCUCAGAUUACUGCCACCAGACCUCCCCUUUCAUGAUGUAACCAUGAUGUAUUAGUGAUGUAGUUUUGGGGGGUGUAACAUGGGGAUUAGCAGCUAAUAAAAGUUUGGGUUCUCUUUUGUUUGGGGCUUCCAUCUUGUUCCACCUUGUGGCAGGUGGGAGUCCUGUCACGACAGUCUUCAAUAAAGACCAAGCCUACUGGCUGCUGUUUUGCUCUGGUAUUCCUGGCUGGUGUCUUUGUUUUUUUGUCCAAGGGAGCCCUCAGAUUUCUCCGUUAACAAGGGUCCGCCGAUGGAAGGAAACUCAGCCGCUGCCUAUUACCACCCUUCACUUAAGGAACAGAUCCAUGGUAGCGCCUGCUCUGGGUGGGAAAUUGCAGGGCCUGAGUUGCCUGGCUUUUUAAAAGAUUCUUUCAUUUCUGUGUUUUGCAUCAUGACUAUGUUAUUCUUUCCUCCAUUCACCUCAAAGGCCUUGAUGUGUUUGAAAAGAGGCGGUCAGCCAGGUGAAUGUUGGUCCUUAUUGCUGCCAUUGCUGCGUUCCUCAAAACCUUCUUUCUGGUUCCAGAUUCUGCUCUGCUGGAAGCAGGAGUCGUUUCUCGGAUUGUCGUUGGGUCUCUGGUUGCGCUGACGUUGUUUGGAACACUGCUUUGUGUCUUGUUCUGUGAGUAAGACGUUGGAAGUGCGGAGCCUCAGAUUCCUGGGUCCUGUUGCCAACUACUGGAGCCCAGGGGUAUUGCUGGACAGGGCAGGGGCAGAGGGUCUGCAGAAACAAAUGUGCAUAAAAUGUGUUUGUGCUAACUUAGACAUAAAUGCCACAUUAUUAUUAUUAUUAUUAUUAUUAUUAUUACCCCGCCCAUCUGACUGAGUUUCCCCAGCCACUCUGGGCGGCUCCCAACAGAAGACUAAAAACAGGAUAAAACUUCAAACAUUAGAAACUUCAGAUGUCUUCUAAAAGUCAGAUAGUUGUUUAUUUCCUUGACAUCUGAAGGGAGGGUGUUCCACAGGGCAGUCGCCACCACCAAGAAGGCUCUCUGCCUGGUUCCCUGUAACCUCACUUCUCACAGUGAGGGAACCGCCAGAAGGCCCUCGGCGCUGGAUCUCAGUGUCCAGGCUGAACGAUGGGGGUGGAGACGCUCCUUCAGGUAUACUGGGCCGAGGCCGUUUGGGGCUUGAAAGGUCAGCACCAACACUUUGAAUUGUGCUCGGAAACGUCCUGGGAGCCAAUGUGGGUCUUUAAGGACCAGUAUAAUAUGGCCUCGGUGGCCACUCCCAGUCACCAAUCUGGCUGCCACAUUCUGGAUUAGUUGGUAGUUUCCAAGUCACCUUCAAAGAUAGCCCCACAUAGAGCACAUUGCAGUAACCCAAGUAUGAGAUACCAUACUUUUCCAUGUAUAAGACUAGGUUAUUUUAUUUAAUAAUUAUGUUCAAAAUUGUAGGAUGUCGUAUACAUGGAUACAAUCAACCCCCCAUUUUCUCAAUUUGGAGUCCCCAAAAAUAGGGGGCGUCUUAUACAUGGGGGCAUAUUAUACACAGAAAAAUACGGUAACUAGAGCAUGCAAGCCAUCCAUGUCACACACCCCAAAAAAAUUCUUCAGUUAAGUCCCUCUUCCAUUCAUUUAUUCCCCUUUUAAUUUUCUGACAGAUCCUGCUCCAAAUCAGUUCUGCUUCUAUCAUCUCAAUUCUUUACCCCAAUAUCAUCCCUUAUUAUAAAGAAAAAAGCAUAAAAGCAAAGGUCUGUGUAGGGUGAAUGUUCAGGUUUGAUUCCCACUUUUCUUCCUCCUUUAGGGGCCUGUCGUUUGAGAUUUAAGAAUUCUGCCCAGAUUGUAUCUGCACCUCCUUUACCUGAUGAUGUUCCCUUUUCUGGACAGGUGAGACCUCAGUAUAGCGAGGGAAGCCGUUUGCACUGCCAAAUCCUAUUUCAAGUCUAUUUUCAGCAUGCAGACUAUGUGCAGUCCAUUUAUGAAUGUGAGAGGAUUGCAAGGGCCCUGCCCCAAGGAAUAUACAAUCAGUAAGGCAGGAAAAGGAUUAGCAGUUGACAACUCAGCAAAGAGGGUGGGGUUGGGACAAGAAAAAUCAGCUUUCUAAAAGGGGAGCUGCCCUCCUCUGGGGCGUUAAAAAAUGUUUUGCAAGCCUGCAUCUCCCCAGAGUUCACCUAAGCCUGUUGAUACCCGCCUUCAUUUCUCAACGGAUCCAUUUUGGUUCAAUUUCUGUUGCCACACAGCACUCAACCAGAGCCAGGGUCUUUUCAACACUGGCUGCAGCCUGGUGGAACGCUCUGCCUCAUGAGGCCAGGGGCCUGCAGGAUCUGAUUUCUUUCUGCAGGGCCUGUAAGACAGAGUUGUUCUGCCUGGCCUUUGGCUUGGAAUCGACUUGAUUCCCUUCCCCUCUUUUCUUUUUCCUUUCUCCUUCUGUGAUGGAACUCCUAUUUGGGGACUUCCUUGGCUUUUUCUGGCCCAUGUAGGACCAGUCUGGAUACAGUGGUGCCUCACAAGACGAAAUUAGUUCGUUCCGCGAGUCUUUUCGUCUUGCGAUGUUUUUCGUCUUGCGAAGCACGGUCCGUCGCAACUGUGCCUCUUCAAGCGGCUUUAAGAAAAAAGCGAACAAACUCGCAAGACGAAAUAGCAAGCCCAUAGGGAAAUUCGUCUUGCGAAGCAGCUCAAAAACCGCAAAACCCUUUCGUCUAGCGAGUUUUUCGUCUUGCGAGGCAUUCAUCUUGCGGGGCACCACUGUAGUUGGCCUUGGUGAAGAUUUGAUGUUUUCAUCCCCAAAAAGUUUUUGAUUUGAGUUUCUACUGAAAUGAGGCUGCAUUUUCAUGUUGUAUUUUAAUCUUGUUUUUAAGUUGUAUUUUAAUCAAUAGUUUUAUACCUGGUGUUAGCUGCCUGCCGGGUCUUGGCUGGGGAGGGCAGGGUAUAAAUUAUUAUUAUUAUUAUUAUUAUUAUUAAGUUUGCUAUUAGAACUAGCCAUAUUCAGAAUUCAGCACUAACACACUGUCUGGGCUCAACAGUUCAUCAGUCCCUGCUACUGGUGCUGUUGCUUAAUAACCAAUAACUGUUCUUUAGCAUCAUUACUAUUACUGUUGUUUAUAUUAAAUCCAGGUCAAGUCUGACAGCUCCUCUGAUCCCAACCGCAUGUACCAGGUAGGUGAAGGUCCGUCACAUUUAUCCUUCUCUCAGAAAAGACAUGUGAUCCCAUGUGAUCUCCUCUCCCAAAGGGACAGAGCCACUGGAAGGAAAGGCCCUACCAACCUUCUUAAGUCCUCAGAUGACUUUGGUCUCUGGCUGAAACAACAUCCACUUUAACUCAGCAACAUGGUUGACUGGGAGCUGUCCAUGGUCCUGAUUUACCUGGCCUGACCAAGCCCCUGAGCCCUAGCAGAAUCAGAGGCAGAAACUUUCAGACAUGUACACAAACACCUCCUCCACAUAUGCUGACCUUGUAAAGGAACAUCUUAACAUCCAAGGUGAUGGGGGAUUUGUUCUGAAUAUGGAUUCAGGUUUCCUCCUCCCUGCUUUCCAUACUGAUGCCUUCCUCUUCCUCUUCCUUUCUUGGUUAAAAGUUGUUUGUCUUAAGAACUUAGAAGAGUUCUUAAGAAAACUUGCAAAACGGACGGGAAGAGUUAGAGGAGUACUGAACCAGAAAAUAUUUGGAGAAUAGAGAAUAUUUAAGGAUUAUAUAAGAUCAUAUUGUACCAAUCACACCAUAUUAGCAGAACUUGAGUGAUACUUGUAAACACAACAAAUACCGUUUGUGGAGUAGAUGGGAACAAUAUUAAAGAAUAUAAAACUGUGCAAAAAACCCGACAGUAUAAACAGUACAAUGAGAAUGAUUGGAAGACUCAUUUUGUCAGAAGUAUUUUUUAUUUAAGUGUUUAAUUUUGUAUUAAUUAGGAGGAUUAAGGUGUUUUUUAUGUAUGUAAAUUUGCUUUUUCUUCUUUCUUUUUUCUGUAUUUUCUUUUCUUUUUUCUUAAUUGUUUUUUCUUUAAUUUUCUUUUUGUAGUAUGAGAUUGUAAAUUCUUUGUAUAAGUGGGUAAUUUAAAUUAAUAAAGAUUUUUUAUAUAUAUUAAAAAGAACUUAGAAGAGUCUUAAAAUAAAUAAUUAAAGUACAGUAUUAGUUUAAAAGAUUCCCUUUUCCUGCUCAAUUGUCAAAGACUCGGGACAAUUUUAUGGUAGGUAAGUCUAUUAAUGGCUAUUAAUAUGGCUGGCUGUGUGGAACCUCCACGGUUAGAAUCAUAGGCUCACGGAACGGUAAAGUUGGAAGGGACCCAAACGGUCAUCUAGUCCAACCCCCUGCAAUACUAGAGAUGGCCAUUCAACCUCAGUGGCCAACUUCCCAAGAUACCCAGGUUAAAAAAGAAGAAAAGAAAGUUUUGCUCUCGGUGCUUCUGUCUCAUGCAACUCCAUUUCAUCCUCAGGCCCUCCAACAGAGAGACCAGCCAAUGUACAACCAGCCGAAGUGGUAAUGCAUGAACCCACCAAUGUCCAUUUUACUUCUGAAUUGGAGCUUCAAUGGAAGGGCACACCCUGGAAGUCCGAAGUACAGCCCCCUGGUUCUCUGGUUAAAGGGAUCUUGUGGAAGGGCAAAGGAGACCUUGGAGAUCCAGUUGGAAUAAAAGUUCUGAGCUAGCUCUGAAUCUGCAUGAAAUAGUUUCCGAUGCCCUACUCUGGGAAGCUCUCCCUGUAAUGGCCAUUAAAUUCAUCAAAAUGUUACUUGUGUGGCCAGUGACUGAGUCUGCAAAUAUAGCUCAUGGCAUCCUUUGCCAACCAGGUGCCUGGCAGAUGUUUUUGAUUACAACCCCCAUCAGAUCCAGCCAACCUCUGGGGAGCACCUGUUUCUGGAUUAAAGAAACAGAAAACCAUAUUCCAUUUUUUGCUAUGGACGGAGCUGGUCCAAAAGAAUUGGUUGCCCGAGGCAACAAGAGUAGUUGAGCAUUUCUUUUUGGCAAAGUUGUUGAGCUUGCAAAAGUUCUUCCUUCUUGGCAGCAAUAAGUAAUUAGCAAUUUGUUAUACUUUCAAAUCAGCUGCCCGAGGCUGCUAUCUCACUCUGCCCAAUGGAAGGGCCAGCCCUGGCUAAUGGGCCAACUGCCUCCUUUCUUGGUGGUGUAAGAACAUGCCCCAGGGUCAAGGUAAAGGACCCCUGGAUGGUUUGUCCAGUCAAAGGCAACUAUGGGUUUGUUGCACUCAUCUCGCUUCAGGCCAAGGGAGCCGGUGUUUGUCCACAGACAGCUUUGUGGGUCAUGUGGCCAGCAUGAAUAAACCGCUUCUGGCACAACGGAACACCAUGAUGGAAACCUGAGCAGCACACGGAAACUCUGUUUACCUUCCCGCCGCAGUGGUACAUAUUUAUCUACUCGCGUGUGCUUUUGAACAUGGUAUAUCCAGUUGGUUAGGACUGAAAAUCCAAGGAAGAUGAUCACUUAAGUUCGCAAUGCUUUGCCCAGGCCUUCUCCAACCCAUAACCCCAGAAUCUCUGUUUCAUUUGCUUUUAUAUAUUUUAUACAGUGGUACCUCAGGUUAAGUACUUAAUUCAUUCCGGAGGUCCGUUCUUAACCUGAAACUGUUCUUAACCUGAAGCACCACUUUAGCUAAUGGGGCCUCCUGCUGCUGCCGCGCCACCGGAGCACGAUCUCUGUUCUCAUCCUGAAGCAAAGUUCUUAACCCGAGGUAAUAUUAUUUCUGGGUUAGCGGAGUCUGUAACCUGAAGCGUAUGUAACCCGAGGUACCCCUGUACUGUUUUAUUUGUUUUGGGUAGUAUUUCAGAGAGAGAGAGUACAUAGUACACCACUUACAGAUUUUAAGCACUUUGGAAAUGCUUUUAAAUAAAUCAAUGAAGCUGCUGGUAGAUGC